CCGCGAUUCCCGGCUCGACGACGCACGUGGACGUGGGGGCAUUAGUCGUUCGCCGAGGUAACGGUGCGAGCGACGCUCCCAUGCACUCGUUUUUGGUGUGAACCGCUGCGGUGUCAAAUCGUCUGUAGACGACUUAGGUAGCUGUCUUGGUGUCGUAAUUAGUAGAGCAGCCACCACACUGCAAUCUAUUGAGGCUUAGCCAUUGACCGGGAGGUUUGU
rnacentral:ncRNA from 1 species